UUAAGUUCAGCGGGUAGUCCUACCUGAUUUGAGGUCAAAUUUAUCAAACACAAAAAUGUGCACAGUUGGAAGCAGCACAAUCUGUUUCAUGCAGAAUACCAAAAGGCAUAGAUAGUUAUCACACCUAAUAGUAGCAGUUCUGCUCAGAUACCACUAAUGCGUUUCAGGGGAGCCGACUUAAUACAAAGCCUGCAAAAUAU
rnacentral:misc_RNA from 1 species